CGUAGGUGGCGAGCGUUGUCCGGAUUUACUGGGCGUAAAGGGAGCGUAGGUGGUCUUUUAAGUGGGAUGUGAAAUCCCUGGGCUUAACCCAGGAAUUGCAUUCCAUACUGGGAGACUAGAGUGCAGGAGAGGAAAGUGGAAUUCCAAGUGUAGCGGUGAAAUGCGUAGAGAUUUGGAGGAACACCAGUGGCGAAGGCGACUUUCUGGACUGUAACUGACACUGAGGCUCGAGAGCGUGGGGAGCAAACAGGAUUAGAUACCCUGGUAGUCCACGCUGUAAACGAUGAAUACUAGGUGUUGGGGAUACACAGCCAGCGUCUUAGCAAAAGCGAUAAGUAAUCCACCUGGGGAGUACGCCGGCAACGGUG
rnacentral:rRNA from 1 species